rnacentral:tRNA from 1 species
GUCAGGAUGGCCGAGUGGUCUAAGGCGCUAGACUCAAGUUCUAGUUUUUGCAAGAGGAGACAACAUUAGAUCUGAAAAAGUAUAUUUAGAUAUUGUCCAAGAACUGUUCUUGAUA